CUGGGACACCCCAAUAUCCUCAUUUUGGCAAUAUCCUCAUUUUGGAGGUUCCCCCACUCUCUGGGACACCCCAAUAUCCUCAUUUUGGCAAUAUCCUCAUUUUGGAGGUUCCCCCACGCUCUGGGACACCCCAAUAUCCUCAUUUUGGAGGUUCCCCCAUGCUCUGGGACACCCCAAUAUCCUCAUUUUGGAGGUUCCCCCACGCUCUGGGACACCCCAAUAUCCUCAUUUUGGAGGUUCCCCCACGCUCUGGGACCCCCCAAUAUCCUCAUUUUGGAGGUUCCCCCUCGCUCUGGGACACCCCAAUAUCCUCAUUUUGGCAAUAUCCUCAUUUUGGAGGUUCCCCCACGCUCCUGGGACACCCCAAUAUCCUCAUUUUGGAGGUUCCCCCUCGCUCUGGGACACCCCAAUAUCCUCAUUUUGGCAAUAUCCUCAUUUUGGAGGUUCCCCCACGCUCUGGGACACCCCAAUAUCCUCAUUUUGGAGGUUCCCCCACGCUCUGGGACACCCCAAUAUCUCCCUGGGUUAUGGUUUUUUGGGGUGUG